rnacentral:rRNA from 1 species
GUGGGGAAUUUUGGACAAUGGGCGAAAGCCUGAUCCAGCAAUGCCGCGUGCAGGAUGAAGGCCCUCGGGUUGUAAACUGCUUUUGUACGGAACGAAAAGCCUGGGGCUAAUAUCCCCGGGUCAUGACGGUACCGUAAGAAUAAGCACCGGCUAACUACGUGCCAGCAGCCGCGGUGAUACGUAGGGUGCAAGCGUUAAUCGGAAUUACUGGGCGUAAAGCGUGCGCAGGCGGUUUUGUAAGACAGUGGUGAAAUCCCCGGGCUCAACCUGGGAACUGCCAUUGUGACUGCAAGGCUAGAGUGCGGCAGAGGGGGAUGGAAUUCCGCGUGUAGCAGUGAAAUGCGUAGAUAUGCGGAGGAACACCGAUGGCGAAGGCAAUCCCCUGGGCCUGCACUGACGCUCAUGCACGAAAGCGUGGGGAGCAAACAGGAUUAGAAACCCCUGUAGUCC